UUUUAGUAUAAAUAUUGUCUUGUAGACAAUAUCCAAACUCAAAUAAAGUCCUCAUUACAAUUAUUGAUAUAUUAUUUUACAAAAUAGUGAGGACUGCUAUAAUAACUGUCUUGAACCAUCACUCCACAACCCGACUAGUACCAACUAUAUUCUCGCCUCUUAAGAAGAAAAAUGGAACAAAAAGGAAAAAGAUGAGCUCAACUAGCCCAGUAAAGAAUAUUAUGACCAAGAUAAUGAAAAACAAAUUAUCGUUAGCCUUCAAUAAAUCAGAUAACAUAUAAUGGACAACAAGUUUUAGAUCAAUAUGUGCAACAGAAAUAACAAUUCAUUAGAAGAGUUAAGUAGAGGAUGAAGUCUACUAUCUUCUAUGAUUUAAAAGUUCAUCAUCAAUAUUUUAUCCCUGUGACAUCAAUCAAUAAUUAUCUCAAAACAAAUAUUCAUCUUUGCACUAUGGGCCAAAGAUAUUCAUUUGUAUUACUAGUUGGUCAUGUUCAUCUCAACACCUGUCCAUCUUUGCACUACGGGCCAAAGAUAUU
rnacentral:lncRNA from 1 species